rnacentral:rRNA from 1 species
GUGGGGAAUCUUCCACAAUGGACGAAAGUCUGAUGGAGCAACGCCGCGUGAGUGAAGAAGGGUUUCGGCUCGUAAAGCUCUGUUGUCGGGGACGAAUGUGCAGUAUUUGAAUAAAGUAGUGUAAUGACGGUACCUGACGAGGAAGCCACGGCUAACUACGUGCCAGCAGCCGCGGUAAUACGUAGGUGGCAAGCGUUGUCCGGAAUUAUUGGGCGUAAAGGGAGCGCAGGCGGGAAGGUAAGUCGGUCUUAAAAGUGCGGGGCUCAACCCCGUGAUGGGAUCGAAACUAUCUUUCUUGAGUGCAGGAGAGGAAAGUGGAAUUCCUAGUGUAGCGGUGAAAUGCGUAGAUAUUAGGAGGAACACCAGUGGCGAAGGCGACUUUCUGGACUGUAACUGACGCUGAGGCUCGAAAGCCAGGGGAGCGAACGGGAUUAGAAACCCGUGUAGUCC